AACGCUGGCGGCGUGCCUACCAUGCAGUCGAACGAGACGCGGGCUUCGGCCCGUUAGUAAAGUGGCAGACGGGUGAGUAACACGUGGGUAACCUACCCGAAGGUGGGGGAUAACCCUCCGAAAGGAGGGCUAAUACCGCAUAACAUCACGAGCACCUCGGGGUUCGUGAUCAAAGCUAGCCUCUACAUGUAAGCUAGCGCCAACGGAGGGGCCCGCGCCCCAUUAGUUUGAUGGUGAGGUAACGGCUCACCAUGACUACGAUGGGUAGCCGGCCUGAGAGGGUGAUCGGCCACACUGGAACUGAGACACGGUCCAGACUCCUACGGGAGGCAGCAGUGAGGAAUUUUGCGCAAUGGGCGAAAGCCUGACGCAGCGACGCCGCGUGGAGGAGGAAGGUCUUCGGAUCGUAAACUCCUGUCAAGGGGGACGAACGCGGGGCGGAUGAAUAAGCCGCUUCGUUGC
rnacentral:rRNA from 1 species